AGAGUUUGAUCCUGGCUCAGGACGAACGCUGGCGGCGUGCUUAACACAUGCAAGUCGAACGGAAAGGCCUAAGCUUGCUUGGGUACUCGAGUGGCGAACGGGUGAGUAACACGUGAGUGAUCUGCCCUCAACUUCGGGAUAAGCCUGGGAAACUGGGUCUAAUACUGGAUAGGACCAUCCUUUAGUGUGUGAUGGUGGAAAGUUUUUUCGGUUGGGGAUGAGCUCGCGGCCUAUCAGCUUGUUGGUGGGGUAAUGGCCUACCAAGGCGUCGACGGGUAGCCGGCCUGAGAGGGUGUACGGCCACAUUGGGACUGAGACACGGCCCAGACUCCUACGGGAGGCAGCAGUGGGGAAUAUUGCACAAUGGGCGCAAGCCUGAUGCAGCGACGCCGCGUGAGGGAUGACGGCCUUCGGGUUGUAAACCUCUUUCGACAGGGACGAAGCUUUUGUGACGGUACCUGUAUAAGAAGCACCGGCUAACUACGUGCCAGCAGCCGCGGUAAUACGUAGGGUGCGAGCGUUGUCCGGAAUUACUGGGCGUAAAGAGCUCGUAGGUGGUUUGUCGCGUCGUCUGUGAAAUUCCGGGGCUUAACUCCGGGCGUGCAGGCGAUACGGGCAUAACUUGAGUGCUGUAGGGGAGACUGGAAUUCCUGGUGUAGCGGUGAAAUGCGCAGAUAUCAGGAGGAACACCGAUGGCGAAGGCAGGUCUCUGGGCAGUAACUGACGCUGAGGAGCGAAAGCAUGGGGAGCGAACAGGAUUAGAUACCCUGGUAGUCCAUGCCGUAAACGUUGGGCACUAGGUGUGGGGGACAUUCCACGUUUUCCGCGCCGUAGCUAACGCAUUAAGUGCCCCGCCUGGGGAGUACGGCCGCAAGGCUAAAACUCAAAGGAAUUGACGGGGGCCCGCACAAGCGGCGGAGCAUGCGGAUUAAUUCGAUGCAACGCGAAGAACCUUACCAAGGCUUGACAUAUACUGGACCGCAUCAGAGAUGGUGUUUCCCUUCGGGGCUGGUAUACAGGUGGUGCAUGGUUGUCGUCAGCUCGUGUCGUGAGAUGUUGGGUUAAGUCCC
rnacentral:rRNA from 1 species